UACGGGGGGGCAAGCGUUGUUCGGAAUUACUGGGCGUAAAGGGCGUGUAGGCGGCCAACUAAGUCCGACGUGAAAUCCCCAGGCUUAACCUGGGAACUGCGUCGGAUACUGGAUGGCUUGAAUUCGGGAGAGGGAUGCAGAAUUCCAGGUGUAGCGGUGAAAUGCGUAGAUAUCUGGAGGAAUACCGGUGGCGAAGGCGGCAUCCUGGACCGACAUUGACGCUGAAGCGCGAAAGCUAGGGGAGCAACGGG
rnacentral:rRNA from 1 species